rnacentral:lncRNA from 1 species
GCUGGACCUUGAAACUGCCUUUCCUUAGUAGAAAACAAAAUUAUACAACUUCUGUGCUGAAGUACUGAGGACAUGUACAGUAACUCCAAAACAGCAAAACUAGAGAUUUUCAAUCAUAGGCUUUGUGACAGCAUUUGGGGAAUAGAAAGGUUCGUAUGUGUUUCAGUCCAGAAGGACAAAGAGUAGUAUAUAUCCCUUGUGAUGUCAUAUAGCAUGAUUCGCCAGUGGAUGGAUGCCUGGGAUGGAUCAUUAUAAUG